GGGUGACUGAUUGUCCCUGCCAGCUGGCUAAUAUCAUAAUUAGCAAAGUUGCUACCACAUCUGCAAAGUUUAAUCGAAAAAUUUACCAGUGGUACGAUGGCAUUGUCACCGCGAUCCUGAGGGGAUCAGAGUCUACUUCUGCUUCAGGUGGAACGACAAGGCUGUAGAGCUGAGAUGAGAAACUGUAAACUUGCUCAGCCAAA
ensembl:misc_RNA predicted gene, 27753